GUGGGGAAUAUUGGGCAAUGGGGGAAACCCUGACCCAGCAACGCCGCGUGAGUGAUGAAGGCCUUUGGGUCGUAAAACUCUGUCCUUGGGGAAGAAAAAAAUGACGGUACCCUUGGAGGAAGCCCCGGCUAACUACGUGCCAGCAGCCGCGGUAAUACGUAGGGGGCAAGCGUUAUCCGGAAUUAUUGGGCGUAAAGAGUGCGUAGGUGGUUUUGUAAGCGUAGGGUGAAAGGCAGUAGCUCAACUAUUGUUAGCCCUGCGAACUGUGAGACUUGAGUGCAGGAGAGGAAAGUGGAAUUCCUAGUGUAGCGGUGAAAUGCGUAGAUAUUAGGAGGAACACCAGUGGCGAAGGCGACUUUCUGGACUGUAACUGACACUGAGGCACGAAAGCGUGGGUAGCAAACAGGAUUAGAAACCCCUGUAGUCC
rnacentral:rRNA from 1 species